UACGGAGGGUGCGAGCGUUAUCCGGAAUUACUGGGUUAAAGGUGCGUAGGCGGCUUGUUAAGUCAGGAGUGAAAGUUUGCGGCUCAACCGUAAAAUUGCUUUUGAUACUGGCAGGCUAGAAUUAGGAUGAGGUUAGCGGAAUGUGGCAUGUAGCGGUGAAAUGCAUAGAUAUGCCAUAGAACACCAAUUGCGAAGGCAGCUGGCUAGACCUAUAUUGACGCUGAGGCACGAAAGCGUGGGGAGCGAACAGG
rnacentral:rRNA from 1 species